UACGAAGGGGGCUAGCGUUGCUCGGAAUCACUGGGCGUAAAGCGCACGUAGGCGGACUCUUAAGUCGGCGGUGAAAUCCUGGAGCUCAACUCCAGAACUGCCUCCGAUACUGGGAGCCUUCGAGUCCGGGAGAGGUGAGUGGAACUGCGAGUGUAGAGGUGAAAUUCGUAGAUAUUCGCAAGAACACCAGUGGCGAAGGCGGCUCACUGGCCCGGUACUGACGCUGAGGUGCGAAAGCGUGGGGAGCAAACAGG
rnacentral:rRNA from 1 species